CUCAAAUUGGCAAUAUGGACAGGCAUGCGGGCUGAGUGACAGCUCCAAUCAAGCCCGGGUCAAAACAUAUCAUACUAGGCAGUUCAUUCAGGUGCAUAUAUUGAGUCUGCAAUAACAAAAUGCAUGGGCGAUAAAUCAUCUUCGGGUUUUUAUCCUCAGUAAUGUCAAUUCUUUCUUUAAUUCCAUUAUUUCUAUUCAACUCACUAAGUUCUAUACAGGAACUCCUUCAAUGUAUUCUGUCAUAAUAUAUGUGCAAAAUGUGGACAGAUAGAAGCGUCCGUUGACAAUGAUAUUGUUCUUUGUGAUGGUUUGUGUGAAGUUGAUACCGUCAAUUUUGUUUGGAUCUACCUCUAUUGAAAGCGCAAGAUUUUACUUUUGAAUCCAGAUGAUCUUGGUUAUAUGAACAAUGAAGUAGCAUCAACAUAAGAUAAGGGCUUGAUAUGCCUGGAGAUAAACAAGAGUUACCAGAUUCGCAUAUGACCCCAUAACUGCAAAGAGAAAUGUUGAGAGACUAGAGUACAAAACACUGUAUGAGGUGAGUUUUCACCUUUAUAAAGUUUGGUUGAGUUGGGUUGGGUUG